rnacentral:tRNA from 1 species
GCCAGUUUGGUGUAGUGAUUUGAGAGUUGGACUAGGACUCUGAAGACCAGGGUUCAAAUCCCUGCUUGGCC